AUGAACGCUGGCGGCGUGGCUAAGGCAUGCAAGUCGAACGAAGCUAAUGGUGUAGCAAUACAUUGUUAGACUGAGUGGCAAACGGGAGCGUAACACAUUGGUAACCUACCUGCUUCUCGUGAAUAACUCAUGGAAACGUGAGCUAAUACACGAUACGGAUGAGGGGGCGCAAGCCAUUCUCAUUGAAAGAUUUAUCGGAAGCAGAGGGGCCUAUGGUCCAUCAGCUAGUUGGCGGGGUAAAGGCCCACCAAGGCUAUGACGGAUACCAGGCGCAAGAGCGCGACCUGGCUCACUGGGACUGAGACACUGCCCAGACACCUACGGGUGGCUGCAGUCGCGAAUAUUCCACAAUGCACGAAAGUGUGAUGGAGCGACGCCGCGUGUCGGAAGAAGGCCUUCGGGUCGUAAACGACUUUUGUCAGGGACGAAUCAUGACGGUACCUGAAGAAUAAGAGGUUGCUAACUCUGU
rnacentral:rRNA from 1 species